GAGAGUAUAGCUCAGGUGGUAGAGAGCAUGCUUAGUAUGCACGAGGUCCUGGGUUCAAUCCCUGGUACCUCCA
rfam:Camelus ferus unplaced genomic scaffold scaffold661, whole genome shotgun sequence.